CAGGAAGUCAGCGGCCGCCAAGUUCUUCAGGUAAACUGUCAUGCUGCUGGAUGCCUGACGAUGAGCUCGGCAGAAGUAAAACUUCAUGAUGAAGGCAUUGAGGGAGAAACCGGCCUGCACAGAAACCAGAAACACCAGACUGUAGACAACGAUGAAGAAAGGGUCUGCCGAGGUGUCGACGUCAACACAACCGUCGACUGCUGUCUGGUUUGUAGCUGUCGACUGGUUGACAGAUGAGGUCAUUUCUACAAAUCCUUGGUCACUCAUAUUUCUGGUCGAUCUAAACGAGAUGAACCCAAAUCACAGAACGCCUUACACACAAAACACACCGUAUGUGGCAGAAAUUCUUCCAAACAGCAGAAUAAAUCAUUCAUAACGUGAUCAUGACCAAAUGAUCAAGAUAUGAUACUUACAGGAACCACCGGAGGAUUCAACUUACCAUCAACUCUAACACACAUCCCACUCAGCUGUCAAAUAUAGAUUAUAGAUUUUUAGAUAUUAAAUGUUUUAAAGCCGUAGAAGUGCAAAAAACGGAGAUUAAAUACCUGCAGUGUUUCCCUGUGUGUCUGAGGGGAUCUGUGAGAAAGCCUGGUCACUGGACUGCUUCCUUCUAUUCUGCUUUUACAGCGGAAGCAAAAUCACGUGCUUAUGACGUCUUCAAAUUCAUGCCUGUAGAUAAGCUUAAAAACCACACACACUCACACACUGCUGUUGAGAUGCAACCUUGUCUUCCUGUCUAGUUCUGAUGAACAAGCCACGAUUACCACUGACAACAUUUACAGGCCAUGUUGUCGGCUCAUGGAGCCACAAUGUUUAUUUUUGUUCUGUGGCCCCAGAAAUGGCUGGAAAAUGUGCCAUAUCAUACUAAAAUAUAUCAGGUUUUCGCACCACAAAAUGGGAUUUUUUUUGUUGUUGUUGCUAAAGUGGCUGUAAACGUCCCAAUAUCUUGUUUAAUGUCUGGUAUUGUCACCACAAAUACAGCUGGUAAAUGUCCCAGUGUCUCAUUAAAAACAUCCAGUGGUGUCACCCGUUGAAACACAGCUGUAAUGCCAUCAUCCAUCCCCUCCACCUGUCAACAUAAAAGUCCUGCUGGACAUGACAUGUACAAAUCUGAACCUAUUCAUGGUUUGCAAAACUGUAAGAAAAAUAAAAUGGCAACAUUUUAUCUGGCAACUUUGCUGAAAAGUCAAUGUAAAGAGGAGAUUACACUGCCACAUACAUGAUGUUCCUGUCUGUCAGUAAUUUAACUCCAUGCUUAUCCUGGGAUUUAUUGAUCUGCUUCCUAAACAUCCAGAGAUUGGAGGAGAAAAGGAAAGAGGCUGGAGGGAAAUAACCAAAAGAGCAUGGAAAAAAGUUUCUGAUGAGUUCUGAGUUCACUCAGAGGCCGAGUUGAGCACAAACUUGGUGGCAGGUUGGUGCAUCUGAUGCUAGCUAGCUUGGAGCUAACAUGUUUAUGGAGGUUAAUUAAUUGGCUUAUCAAGGACAAAUAAACACAAAUGGAAACAAUGAAAAACAGAUUAACUUUUUGAGUAAUUAGGUUUAAUGUUUGGACGGAGAUGGACUGCUCUCUGGGCGUUAGUCAAGGACUUCAAAUGUUGACGUCAUGAGUACAAAUUUACACAGUGCACCUGGAAGAGUUCAACGUUCUGAAAAUGUGAUUAUAUACAUUUUUCUUAGUUUUUCUCUAUCAUGGUUCUGUGUCUGGUUGUGUCUUAUUUUUUGAUUUCCAUGCCCUCGUGUGUCUUGUCAGUGUCUCUGUUUUUUCUCUGCUUUUCCCUUCCACCUUGUGCAUGUUUGUCUCCCUCUGUCUGCCACUGUUAUAUCUCGUUAUAUCGCAUCCCCCUCGUUAUCUCACCUGCCCUCUUCCCUCCUCUCUCUCCUCACCUGCUCCCCAUCCCCUCAUCAGUGUCUGUGCAUUUAAGCCUUUGGUCCCAAUUCACUUCUUGUCAGUUCGUUGUGUGUGAUUCACCAUGAUGUAUCCUGUGUCUCCUCCUGUGUUAUCCCCGUUGGUACGUUUUGGAUUGUGGAUUUUUGCAUUUUGAUUUUUACUUUGUUGAAGCUUUUUUGUUGCACUUUGCUUAGCCAUUUUAGCUGCUACUUUGUUUUCUGGUCCCUGGAUUGAUUUUCGUUUGUGCUCUUCAUUUUUGUAUAUCUCAGCUUUUUGCAAUUAAAGCUCACCUUUUGUUCUCCUAUCUUGCCUCCCAUUUGUCUGCAUUUGGGUUCACCGUUUUCCCUUUUAAAGUGUGACAGAACGAACUGACCAUAAAAAUGGACCCAGCAGACAUUUGUAAACUCAUAGGCAUUCGAGACACAUGGUCUGCCUGUUGUAGUGGCAGGAUAGGACUGGCGGAUGACUAUCUUGGAUUUUGAAAAGAAUCUAAUUGAUGGGCCCUCUUUGAGAGAGGUUCAGGGUACUGUGGGGAUAAUAUCUGAGACUGAUGGGGUUGGGUUGCAGGGCAGCACUUACCAUGAACUAGCUUGCCAACAGCUUGUUAGCCUCUCCUCAGCUCCGGUGCUAGCUAGUCGUCAGUCGAUUAGCCUUCUGUCUGCUCCAGAACCUGACAGUGGUUCUCAGUUGGCUCUCAGGCCAACACCUGCCAGUGUCCCUCCGUUGGCAGCUCUGCCAGCUUCUCUCCCAGCCCCCUCUCCAAGAGGGCUAAGCUCCCUGAGGUCUGGCGCCCUUUUUUGCUGUUCCUCACCGCCACCCAGGGCUUCAGCCCCUCUGCUGUCCUGCACCCUGGAGCCAUGCCUGGUCAGUGCCUCUGAACCGUGCCAGCCUGGAGUCAGCGGCCGGGUCGACAUCUGAGAGUUCGCCGUCGGCUUCCCGAGGGUUUACGCCUUCGCCGCCGGCUUCCAGUGGGUCCCAGCCUUUGUCUUCGCCGCCGGCCUACUGAGGGUCAAAGCCUUUGGCCUCCCGAGGCUCUCAGCCUUUGUCUCUGCCGUCAGCCUCCCGAGGUUCUCAACCCUCGCCCCUGCCCCUACUGUCAGCCUCCUGAGGGUCUCAGCCCUCGCCCCUGCCCCUACUGUCAGCCUCCUGAGGGUCUCAGCCCUCGCCCCUGCCCCUACUGUCAGCCUCCCGAGGUUCUCAGCCCUCGUCCCUGCCCCUACUGUCAGCCUCCUGAGGGUCUCAGCCCUCGCCCCUGCCCCUACUGUCAGCCUCCCGAGGUUCUCAGCCCUCGUCCCUGCCCCUACUGUCGGCCUCCUGAGGGUCUCAGCCCUCGCCUCCACCCUCCCAGCUUGUGUGUGAUUCUCCAUGAUGUAACCUGUCUUCUGUCAUAGAAAAACAAUACAGUGGCCGAAUGACCUCAGCUUAUACUGUAUAAAUCAUUUAAUCAUAAUGAUAAUAUUUAUGACACUGUAGGUCUCUGUGAGCAAAGCUUCUGGGUGUCACAUGCUUCCACAGACCCGCCCCAUACAGACUAUAUAAAGGUUCCCACCAGGAUUUAUUUCCACAGACUGACCUGACUGAGUCCAAUGCAUCUGUGAACCCUGCUCUCUGUGAUGAUGUUGCAGAGUUUGGCACAGAAGAAGAACCCCCCAAAAAAGUGUAACAUAGGCCUCCCCUCUCCGGCUAAGCUGGGCCCUGAACGCCUUGCAGAAGAUGAAGUAGAUGAGUGGGUCCAGGCAGACGUUCAGAGUUGAAACCAUGACCGUCACCUCCAUCAGCUUCUUGGAGCUGGAGGACGUCGGCUGCCUCUGCCGCGCCUCUGACACCCUGCGGGAGGUGUUAUAAUAGAAGAAGAUCAAGGAGACCAGGACAAACAGGAAGCUGACGGUGGAG